AUGGAGGUGACGGUGCUGAGCGUCGGCGAUUCCGUGGUGAAUGGAGAGCUGAGCUACGCCCGCUCUGCCCCGGCGGAGCAGGUGGCGCUGCAGCUCGGGGUCCAGCGUGACCAGACCUUCUUCAUCAAGGACGAGCUCGAGAUGAUGCAAGCUUUCCUGAUGGCCGUUGACGAUUACCGGGAGCGCAACAGCAGGGCGGUCAAGGUAUGGGUCAAGCAGGUCCGGGACGUGGCCUACGAAAGUCGAGGACUGCCUCCCGGACUUGGCGGUCAGUCUGGAAAAGCUGUCCAGGUGGUGGCGUGGCGCGGGCACAUUGAUGGCCCGUCGCCGUGUGGCCAUGCGGAUGAAGGAGCUCAGGGCUAA
rnacentral:rRNA from 1 species